rnacentral:lncRNA from 1 species
GUGAAAGAAUGAAGGAAUUAUUUUUUUUUCUUAUUUUGAAUUUGUCACAGUUGGGGGAGUUCUGCAGAAGAUUUGGCAGAGAUGUUUCCAGGAAGUCUGACUGGAUGCAUUUGAAAGCAGUUUUGCUUGUGAGGUGGUUGCUGUUAGUAUCUUCAUUUUGAAGAUGAGAAAACGGAGCCUGAAGGACUUUAGUCUGUUUGAGAUUACACAGGUGGUGCCAAAGCAAUACUGCUAAUGGGAACUAGAGUGUACAGAAAAUGACUGAAGAAAUUUCAGAAAUAUUUCACUCUCCAAGUACUCAGGGAUUGAUUCCUCAGUUGCUGAUUUUCUUUGUUUACUCUUCAUUUCCCGCGUGCUCAAUCUUCCUUCAUUGUCCAUUGGCCAACAGCAAGUUUCCGAAACUUUAAACUAAUCCGUUCUGCACACAUUUAUUAAACACCUACGAAAUUCAGUACAUGGUACUAGAUAUUGGAAGUAAUGUUGUUGUUUGUCCUUUGUUUUCAAAGAGGACUGGUGACAUCAUCCCUGGGUAAUUUCUUGACUUGUACUUGAGUUGGAUUUCAGCAUGCAGAUUUCCACAAAGUCAUCAGCCUCACUCUCUACCAGUCAUCCAAGUCUAACUACAAGACAAAAGUCAGAAAGA